UUGAAGUCUGAUUUAAUAUUAACUUCGUUAUGAAGCUUAGUUAUCAUUUGUGCGGUAAAUCAACUCUGCGUCGUUUCUAAAAGAUUACGUUUUUUGCUGUUUUUUCCAAUUCAUUGAGUAUUUUGAUACUUUCUUCUUCUGCUUCUCAGUUAUGAUUAUAAGAAUAUCAUGGCUUCUACAGAUAUUAAUCGCUGUCGCCAUAGUUGCCUUGGUAUCAGGUAGUCCAAUAUUUUUCCGAACAAGAGACAACAAAGCUUUAAUAAAAUGGAACCCACCUGUAGACGAAUGGAAUUGGACAAUAACGCCACGAAACGAAGAGCCAUCCUUUGUGCCAUCCAACUUCACGCACAAACUUCCUCCUUCGGCCAACGAAACCGAAUUGAUCGCACACAUGGCGGCACUGAAAAGAAAUUAUUCGCGUUUACUUUGGGAUAACGAUAAGAGCACCAACCUGCCUCUUUUUGUGGAAAAAGCUCUGAAACUGUUGAAUUUGAAGCAAGUUUAUUAUGAAGUUGAACACUCUGUUAUGUCUAAAGUUUCCUGCACGGCAUGUAAAGCUGGAGCCGGCCUUUUACAACAUUACAUCAAAACCGGUAAAAGCAAAGAGGAGAUUACUAAAAUGAUUUAUCAGUUUUGUGUAUCUUUAAACAUUCAGUCCACUCGAGUCUGUGAAGGUGUAACGAGGCUUUUUGGAAGUGAAGUGGUCUAUGUGUUAAAACGUAUUACUAUAGGCCCCAAUGAAAUAUGCAGUUUUGUGAUAGGAGAUGCUUGCGGUGACGUGUAUAACCCUUACCACGAGUGGGAAGUAUCAUUUCCGCCAGUGCCGAAGCCACCUCCACGUUUAUUGGAUAUUCCUGUGGACAAAGCACCGACUUUCAAAGUUUUGCAAAUCUCAGACACACACUUCGAUCCUUACUAUGCAGAAGGUGCUAACGCGGAAUGCAACGAGCCGCUUUGUUGCCGCGCAUCGAGUGGUCCUGUGCUGACGCCGGCCAGCGGCGCUGGCCGCUGGGGAGACUACCGCAAAUGCGACACCCCCAAACGAACCAUCGAUCAUAUGCUGAAACAUAUCGCCGACACGCACACCGACAUUGACUACAUAUUAUGGACUGGAGACCUGCCACCACACGAUGUCUGGAAUCAGACGAAAGAAGAAAACCUGAAGGUCCUCCAAGAAACUGUAGCUCAAAUGUCGGACAUGUUUCCUGGAGUUCCAAUUUUUCCUGCUCUGGGCAACCAUGAAUCCUCACCUGUAAACAGUUUCCCGCCACCAUAUAUUUCAUCUCCGGACUCAAGUAUAGCCUGGCUGUACAACGAGUUGGAUGCGCAGUGGCGCCGCUGGUUGCCUGCUGGUGUUUCAUACACCGUGCGGCGCGGCGCCUUCUACUCUGUGCUGGUGCGACCUGGUUUCCGGAUCAUAUCGCUUAACAUGAACUACUGCAACAAUAAGAACUGGUGGUUGUUAAUGAACAGUACAGAUCCCGCUACUGAAUUGCAGUGGUUAAUCUACGAACUGCAAUCAGCCGAAUUCAGUGGUGAGAAGGUUCAUAUUAUCGGGCACAUUCCGCCUGGACAUUCGGACUGCCUGAAAGUAUGGAGCCGUAAUUAUUACGCCAUUGUCAAUAGAUACGAGUCAACAAUAACAGCACAAUUUUUCGGACACACACAUUUUGACGAAUUUGAAGUAUUCUACGAUCCCAGCGAUCUCGGCAGAGCUACUAAUAUAGCAUACGUGGGUCCAUCUGUUUCUCCAUAUUACGAUUUGAAUCUUGGAUAUCGAAUAUAUUAUGUAGAUGGUGAUCACGAUGCAACAACAAGACAAGUGGUGGAUCACGAAACUUGGAUCAUGAACUUAAAAGAAGCAAAUCAAUUCGGUUAUCCGAUAUGGUACAAGCUGUAUUCGGCGCGAUCUGCGUACUCAAUGCCGGCUCUCCGUCCGCAAGACUGGGAUAAAUUUAUAGACGAGAUGACUGCACAGGAAACAGUUUUUAACUUAUAUCACAAACAUUACUGGAAGAACAGUCCCAGACGUGGAAUAUGCGACGGCGAGUGCCGCAAACGGCUAAUUUGCGACGCGCGUUCAGGUCGCUCGCACGACCGCCGAGCGCUUUGCGGACACAUCGAAGCACGUAUUGAUGGCACCGCACCGGCACCCCAAACUUGGCGCGCCUGGUUCUAUAACGGAUUGUCUGUCUCACCUAUUCCUAGUGUACAGCAAGUGUAAAUGGUGAUGGAAUUAAACUUAGCAACUACCUGCACGCUUAGCAUAUUAAGGAUGUCAAUGAUAAUGCAAUUACCUCAAGUGGCGUAUCAAAUACCAAAGUUUGUUCUGGGACUCGGCUGAAAAUACGAUGGAUACAUUAUGAACAAAAAUGAAACUUGUGUCACCACCGCUGAAUAUGUAAAAAAAAUAAAGAUUAGGUAUAUUGCAUUUGUUUUAACUUAUGUAAAUUUCAUAAACUUGCAAUUUAUUUUAUUAGAUACCUAACAGUACCUCCAUGAUUUAUUUUUCUCGUAAAGCAAGUAAUUGUGUUUAAUGAUUUUAGUAUUUUUAUAACAUUUGAUGUACUUGUACAAAAUACCAAAUUAAAUUAUAAUACUCAAGAGCUAUAAGGUGGUCCAAUUAGCAAUACUUGCUAUCGAUACUGUUAUUUAUUUUUAAGGUACCUAAAAUAUUUUGUAAAUAUAAUUUGUAAAUGUGUAAUAAAUAAUUAAAUUUGA
rnacentral:misc_RNA from 1 species